rnacentral:tRNA from 1 species
GUAGUGGGUAGCGAAAUUGGUUAACGCACCAGAUUAAAUCCUUAAUUUAUCAACUUGCCUGAAAAGGCCGAAAAGUUGAGGGUUAUCGGGUUCUGGGGAUUGUGGGUUCAAGUCCCACUCCACUACACCA